rnacentral:misc_RNA from 1 species
GAAAUGCGAUACGUAGUGUGAAUUGCAGAAUUCCGUGAACCAUCGAAUCUUUGAACGCAUAUUGCGCUCGAGCCCUCGGGCAAGAGCAUGUCUGCCUCAGCGUCGGUUUACACCCUCACCCCUCCCACUUUUGUUGGGUGUGUUGGCUUCUAUGCCAGCCAUAGGGGUGGAUCUGGCUUCCCCAAUUCGCUGUAGUGGAUUGGGUUGGCUGAAGUAUAGAGGCUUAAGCAAGGACCCGAUAUGGGCUUCAACUGGAUAGGUAGCACCGGCUUUCGCCGACUACACGAAGUUGUUGCUUGUGGAUCUUGCUAGAGGCCAAGCAGGAACUUGCCUUUGGCAUGUCUAAACUUUCGACCUGAGCUCAGGCAAGGCUACCCGCUGAACUUAAGC